AGAGAGAGAAAGGGACAGAUUGAGGAAAAAUCGGGACAAGCCCGAGCUCUCCCUUCCCCUUUCUUUUUCUUUCGCCGCCGGCCUUUCUCCACCAAAAAUUGACGUCGUCCGGCCACCCCAGUGCGCACCGCUCACCUUGGCAUGAUCCUUCCUCCCUCCUUUUCCUAGAUAUCUCGUUUUGAUCGGUGGAGGAAGAUUUGAAGGUGUUUGAGACUGUGAACAGUACCGUGAACAGUAACUCUCGAAUUCUUAGGACGUACUGAUCCCUCGAGCGAGGAGGACACGGGCAGGCAGCAGGGUUAGCUGCGAAACUCACCAUUUCAGAUUGGCUGAGAUCGCGUCCAGGCUCAAGGACUUGGAAAUCAGUGCUUCCGUUUUUGUUCGUAGGUUAUUACUUAACCUACCUUGUAUGAUAUCGGCUUAGUUUUAGUGUCUCUCUGAUAAACCUUUUCUUUUAAAUUUGAUGGAUGUUGUUGUUCGGUUUGUUGUUGUUUAUGGAGGUUAUGUUGGGAUUUGAACUUCCGGAUGUAAUAUAUGUGCUUGGAUUGUAAAUAUGAUAUCGUAGGUUGAGUAGAA